ensembl:lncRNA
GGAAAACUGAAGCCUGAGCUGCCAGGCUGAGGGGCAACCCAGACGUCCACCUCCUGGACAGUAACAGGGUACCCGACUCCUUUGGCAGUAUUGUCAGGGAAGGCCAAGGGCUGAGUGACAGCCUACACCCCUGCCAGGCUGCAACAAAUUGGGUGACAUGGACCAAUGUCUCUCAUGAUGUAAGCGACCCCAACGCACCCAAUGUGAGACAGGUCAUUUGCUUCCUGUUGUUCAGUCACUCAGUCGUGCCCGACUCUCUGCCACCCCUUGGACUGCAGCACGCCAGAGCUUCACCAUCUCCCAGAGCUUGCUCAAUCUCGUAUCCAUCCAGUCAGUGACGCCAUCCAACCAUCUCAUCCUCUGCCGUCCCUUUCUACUCCUGCCCUCAAUCUCUCGCAGCAUCAGCUCUUCAGGUGACUGGAGUCUCGAUGUCCUCUGUCUCUACCUUCAAGAAUGACUUUUUUAUUUUAAAAGAAAGUCAGUAUACUUGGAUAAGUUCUCAUAGAUUUGGAGCUAAAACCAACAGUUCUCCAGCAACACGGCCAUCACACUGACCCCUAAACAUGCAUGGUGCCAUGUCGUGACCUCCAGAGAAGCUAAUGAGGAAUUUGAACCUUGUUGCCCUGGGUACCACUUGUCCCAUCCAUCAGGAUCACCUAAACAGUGCCAAAGGAAUGACGCUGACCUGUGUUUGCUCUACAUACAAACACUUCAGUUUCUGGAAUGUGCGUCAUUUCCCUUUUAUCUACAACAUUCCUCCUCACCACUCUCUCCCCCUGUACCUUGCUGGUCCCAGGGGGACUUGCGGCAAGAAAGACAGCACCCACCACAGGAUGGGACGGCAGCUGUGCUCCUCUGGCCCUCAGCUCCCUGGAAUCCUCCCACGACGGUCCCUUCCCAGAAGUGUCCUCCUCCCGUCUGACCUUCUCAGGACUGGGCACCUCGCCUCACCGCUCCUUCCCUUUUGCACCUAGGAGAGUACGUGAUAUACAGAAAAGAAACCACUAAAUAAGUCUUACUGCAAUCAGACUCCAUAUCCCACCUGUCAUAUGAUUCAUUUCACAAGCCUAAGAUAACCGCAUUCUACAUCGGAACAGAACAG